rnacentral:rRNA from 1 species
UUUGACUGGGGCGGUCUCCUCCUAAAGAGUAACGGAGGAGCACGAAGGUUGGCUAAUCCUGGUCGGACAUCAGGAGGUUAGUGCAAUGGCAUAAGCCAGCUUGACUGCGAGCGUGACGGCGCGAGCAGGUGCGAAAGCAGGUCAUAGUGAUCCGGUGGUUCUGAAUGGAAGGGCCAUCGCUCAACGGAUAAAAGGUACUCCGGGGAUAACAGGCUGAUACCGCCCAAGAGUUCAUAUCGACGGCGGUGUUUGGCACCUCGAUGUCGGCUCAUCACAUCCUGGGGCUGAAGUAGGUCCCAAGGGUAUGGCUGUUCGCCAUUUAAAGUGGUACGCGAGCUGGGUUUAGAACGUCGUGAGACAGUUCGGUCCCUAUCUGCCGUGGGCGCUGGAGAACUGAGGGGGGCUGCUCCUAGUACGAGAGGACCGGAGUGGACGCAUCACUGGUGUUCGGGUU